rnacentral:misc_RNA from 1 species
UGCUGCCCUCAAGCACGGCUUGUGUGUUGGGCCGCCGUCCCCGGUUCUCCCCCGGGGACGGGCCCGAAAGGCAGCGGCGGCACCGCGUCCGGUCCUCGAGCGUAUGGGGCUUCGUCACCCGCUCUGUAGGCCCGGCCGGCGCCAGCCGACACCCAACUUUAUUUCUAA